CCGCCGAUAGAUCGGGACCCGUCCCAGUC
rnacentral:sRNA from 1 species